rnacentral:rRNA from 1 species
UACGUAGGGGGCGAGCGUUGUCCGGAUUUAUUGGGCGUAAAGAGCGUGUAGGCGGCCAGGCAGGUCUGCUGUGAAAACUCGAGGCUCAACCUCGAGACGUCGGCGGAAACCAUCUGGCUAGAGUCCGGAAGAGGAGAGUGGGAUUCCUGGUGUAGCGGUGAAAUGCGCAGAUAUCAGGAAGAACACCCGUGGCGAAGGCGGCUCUCUGGGACGGUACUGACGCUGAGACGCGAAAGCGUGGGGAGCGAACAGG